ACGGGUGUAGCAAUACAUCCGUGGCGGACGGGUGCGUAACACGUGGAUAACCUUCCUUCAGGUGGGGAAUAACCCAGUGAAAAUUGGGCUAAUACCGCAUAACGAGACGAGGGCACAUGCCCUUGUCUUCAAAGGCGCAAGUCGCCGGAAGAGGGAUCCGCGGCCGAUUAGCUUGUUGGCGGGGUAACGGCCCACCAAGGCAAUGAUCGGUAGCCGGACUGAGAGGUUGGCCGGCCACACUGGAACUGAGACACGGUCCAGACUCCUACGGGAGGCAGCAGUGGGGAAUCUUGCGCAAUGGGCGAAAGCCUGACGCAGCAACGCCGCGUGGGGGAUGAAGCUUCUCGGAGUGUAAACCCCUUUCGACCCGGACGAAUGCCCGCAAGGGCUUGACGGUACGGGUAUAAGAAGCCCCGGCUAACUACGUGCCAGCAGCCGCGGUAAAACGUAGGGGGCCAGCGUUGCUCGGAAUUACUGGGCGUAAAGGGUCCGUAGGCGGUGUGGCAAGUCGGUAGUGAAAACUCUGGGCUUAACCCAGAGACUGCUGCCGAAACUGCUGUGCU
rnacentral:rRNA from 1 species